rnacentral:rRNA from 1 species
GCCUGUAAGACUGGGAUAACUCCGGGAAACCGGGGCUAAUACCGGAUGCUUGUUUGAACCGCAUGGUUCAAACAUAAAAGGUGGCUUCGGCUACCACUUACAGAUGGACCCGCGGCGCAUUAGCUAGUUGGUGAGGUAACGGCUCACCAAGGCGACGAUGCGUAGCCGACCUGAGAGGGUGAUCGGCCACACUGGGACUGAGACACGGCCCAGACUCCUACGGGAGGCAGCAGUAGGGAAUCUUCCGCAAUGGACGAAAGUCUGACGGAGCAACGCCGCGUGAGUGAUGAAGGUUUUCGGAUCGUAAAGCUCUGUUGUUAGGGAAGAACAAGUGCCGUUCAAAUAGGGCGGCACCUUGACGGUACCUAACCAGAAAGCCACGGCUAACUACGUGCCAGCAGCCGCGGUAAUACGUAGGUGGCAAGCGUUGUCCGGAAUUAUUGGGCGUAAAGGGCUCGCAGGCGGUUUCUUAAGUCUGAUGUGAAAGCCCCCGGCUCAACCGGGGAGGGUCAUUGGAAACUGGGGAACUUGAGUGCAGAAGAGGAGAGUGGAAUUCC